GCUGGUGUGGCUCAGUGGCUAGAGUGUCAGCCUACACACCAGAGGGUUGCGGGUUCAAUUCCCGGUCAAGGGCA
rnacentral:tRNA from 1 species